rnacentral:lncRNA from 1 species
UGAACAUGAAGGGGGUUCUUCUUUGGAGGUAAGACAGCUUACUGAGUUUGGAGAAGGAACAAAGAGACUUUUCCGAACCACCGAACCAAAGGACUCAUCUAGGGUGAGCUCAAUGAAUCUAAAAUCGGGAACACACAUUGCAGCCCCUGUUUGGGAAAUCAGCUUAAGAGCAAUCUCAAGUCUCCACAAGAGGCGGAGGUCCAUAUUCCAAAAUAAUGUGAGCCUUCAGUUAUUUGUAGGUAGAAUUCAAUGGAAGAAGGGGUGUUAUAGAUACGAAAAAUCGUGGCUGGCGUUACCAACAUUAAAUGACUCGUGGUGAUGGGGUAAGUUGACAAGUGAAAUCCAGUCUCUUCCUAAACAAACGUAUCUUUGUAAUGAAGAGCUCGUUUUUGCAGCUUCAGUACAUCUGGAGGCAUCGAAUAGCAAACGCUGCCAAAGGAGUAGUCCCUGGAUUAUCAGGAGUUGCAGAGUGUGUAAAGUGUUGUAAACCUUGAAAUUAGUCCUGGACUGAAGGCACUUUCCCUCCUCCCAGACUCGCUUCUCUCUGACACAUUUCCCCUUUCAAUGGAAAGUCUAUGGCAGUCAGGUCCACUCAGCUCAGACUUCAAGUAUGUGAGACCACAGGUUCCCACCUUAACUGGUCACCCAUUGAGGGACAGCACAAGACCCCGGUGCUGGCGCCAACGCUGAGCUGCGCCCUCUCGGUUACCAUGGCGACCGCAGGCGGGGCGAGGCCCCCACUCGCC